rnacentral:rRNA from 1 species
GAUGAACGCUGGCGGCGUGCCUAAUACAUGCAAGUCGAGCGAACGGACGAGAAGCUUGCUUCUCUGAUGUUAGCGGCGGACGGGUGAGUAACACGUGGAUAACCUACCUAUAAGACUGGGAUAACUUCGGGAAACCGGAGCUAAUACCGGAUGAUAUUUUGAACCGCAUGGUUCAAAAGUGAAAGACGGUCUUGCUGUCACUUAUAGAUGGAUCCGCGCUGCAUUAGCUAGUUGGUAAGGUAACGGCUUACCAAGGCAACGAUGCAUAGCCGACCUGAGAGGGUGGUCGGCCACACGGGAGCGGAGACACGGUCCAGACUCCUACGGGAGGCAGCAGUAGGGAAUCUUCCGCAAUGGGCGAAAGCCUGACGGAGCAACGCCGCGUGAGUGAUGAAGGUCUUCGGAUCGUAAAACUCUGUUAUUAGGGAAGAACAUAUGUGUAAGUAACUGUGCACAGCUUGACGGUACCUAAUCAGAAAGCCACGGCUAACUACGUG